UCUCACAAUUCAGAUUCAGUUCUCAAAUUCAAUUUCAAGUUACUGAGACAGACAUCCGGGUAGUUGGAGGAUGAAGGAAGAGCAAUCGAGCGCAGAUCGAUAGAUAGCGUUCAUUGGCGCAUAGGACUCCUCUUGGGCCAAUCAGCACCUACGUUUUGGAGCAUAGUACAUGAAACAAGGAAGAAGCUCUUGCUUUGCCAGUGGCCGGCCUUGACCCAGAACGCCCAGACUGGUGUGACCACCAUGGAUUCGGCUGGGACAAAUACGGGAAUCCUAAUUGAGGAUAUUGAUUGGGAGAGCUCAGGGCUCUCUCAUAACUCUGCCAACGCAGGUGUUACCGUGCCAGAAAUGGAAUGUCCAUUGAAGACCGAGAACUCUACGCCUUGCCAUUGAUCCCCUUUCUCAUUCAAAUAGUUUUGGAAAAUAUAUUUAUUUGACCACACUCGCACAUGCCUUGUACCUACUUCACCAUCAUUGACAGUCAUGCCUGUGCCAAUCAGAGGACUAAAGGCUUUUAAUAAUUCAUGAUUGCUUAAGUCCAGUCUAGGACCCCAUGUAUCCAGGCACCUUGUAGUCCACCAAAUUUUUAAAAUCGGACUUCUGUCUCGCUGACACAACAUUGUAAUGACAAACAUUGUAAUGGUGCGAUGCACAUGUGGAAAUGCUUUUUGUGGUGUAACAUUCAAUGUGGCUAACAAUGAUUUAUGAUCUAAAAUAUCAAAUCAAUUAGCCAUGCACACUGGGUCAUUUAAUACACUCAUGAACAGUGAAUUGGGUUAACAUAUACAAACUGGAUUUGACAAAAAAUGAAAUAAAAGACUGCACAAAUAUCUUAUCUAUUACUAUUUGAGUCUGAAUGUACAGGUGCUGGUCAUAAAAUUAGAAUAUCAUAAAGUUUUUUUUAUCCCAGUAAUUCCAUUCAAAAAGUGAACCUUGUAUAAUGUAUACAUUCAUUCCACACAGACUGAUAUGUUUCAUAUUUCUUUUAAUUUUGAUGAUUAUAACCGACAACUAAUGAAAAUCACAAAUUCAGUAUC
rnacentral:lncRNA from 1 species